CGGCGGGCUAGGCCGGGGGGUUCGGCGUCCCCUGCAACCGGAAACCGUCGAUAUGCCGGGGCCGAAGCCCGGGGGGCGGUUCCCAAAGCCGUCCCCGGAAGCCGGGGCACAACGGUGAUCCCUCGUCCCACGGGGCCGGCGGUGGGAGGGGCGGAGCUGGAGGGCUCCGCUAACUCCCUUUGCCCGCCGAACCCCGUCAGGCCCGGAAGGGAGCAGCGGUAGGCGGGACGUUCGGCGCUCGUGGGGUAGCGGGGGUGAGCGAGCCCCGGUGGAAGGGGACGGUGGAGGGUUCCCACCCUCGGGCGCGCCCGCCG
rnacentral:SRP_RNA from 1 species